AGUUUUCAGGAACCAAAUUAAAAGAAAAAAAAGGGGAAAUCUGAAAUGCCAUGGAGUUUUGAGCAGAAGAAGAAAAGUGAUACAACUCGUUCAAAAUCCAUUCCUCCAUUUCCGCACUUUGAUUCACACAUAUUUCACUAACACUCGCACCACAGAUCCGAUCCAUCACUACCACAACCCCAACACAAUGCCCACUCUCUCGGAGACCUAUGCCUGCGUCCCCACCACCGAGCGCGGCCGCGGCAUCCUCAUCUCCGGCGACCCCAAAACCAACAACUUCCUCUACUGCACCGCUCGCUCCGUCGUCAUCCGCAACCUCGACAACCCCCUCAAAGUCUCCGUCUAUGGCGAGCACGCCUAUCCCGUCACCGUCGCCCGCUACUCUCCCAACGGCGAAUGGAUCGCCUCCGCCGACGUCUCCGGCACCAUCCGAAUCUGGGGAACACACAACGAUUACGUUCUUAAGAACGAGUUUCGGGUUCUAUCGGGUCGGAUCGAUGAUCUCCAGUGGUCUGCCGACGGCAUGAGGAUCGUUGCCUGUGGUGAUGGCAAGGGCAAGUCCUUCGUUCGCGCUUUCAUGUGGGAUUCGGGUUCUACUGUUGGUGACUUUGAUGGCCAUUCCCGGCGGGUUUUGAGUUGUGCAUUUAAGCCAACAAGGCCAUUCCGCAUUGUCACAUGUGGAGAGGACUUUUUAGCCAAUUUUUAUGAAGGUCCGCCAUUCAAGUUCAACAUGUCAAUCAGGGACCAUUCGAAUUUUGUCAACUGUGUUAGAUAUUCGCCAGAUGGGAGCAAGUUUAUUACAGUGAGCUCUGAUAGGAAGGGAAUUGUAUAUGAAGGAAAGACAGGGGCCAAACUUGCAGAGUUGCUUUCAGGGGAUGGUCACAAGGGCAGCAUAUAUGCUGCUAGUUGGAGUCCUGAUAGCAAACAGGUAGUAACUGUGUCUGCUGAUAAGACCGCAAAAAUAUGGGACAUUCUUGAGGAUGGUAGUGCAAAGUUAAAUAAGACUCUGUCUUUUACGGAAACUGGCGGAGUGGAAGACAUGCUUGUUGGUUGCCUUUGGCAGAAUGCUCAUCUGCUUACUGUCUCUCUUGGUGGCACCAUUAACUUAUAUGACGCUAAGGAUCUUGAUAAAAGCCCUUUAUCCUUAUCUGGCCACAUGAAGAAUGUUACUGUUUUGAAUCUGCUUCACAGAAGUGAAAAGAUGCUGUUGUCCAGCAGCUACGAUGGAGUGAUCAUUAGAUGGAUUCCCGGCGUUGGGUAUAGUGGUAAAUUUGAGAGUAAACAAUUUGGAUUAAUCAAAUUGUUAGCAGCUGGCGAAGAAGAAAUUAUUACUGCUGGGUUUGACAACAAGGUAUCCAGAGUUCCUCUUCACGGGGACGAUUUUGGUCCUGCUAAGCAAGUUGAUAUUGGAAGUCAGCCUAAGGAUGUGAGUCUUGCAGUUAAAAUCCCUGAACUUGCUCUCAUUGCAAUUGAAUCUGGGGUUGUCUUACUCAAAGAUUCAACAAUUUUGUCAACUGUAAACCUGGGCUUUGUUGUGACUGCCUGUGCAAUUUCACCUGAUGGUAGUGAAGCAAUUGUAGGCGGCCAAGAUGGUAAGUUGCACAUCUAUUCUGUCUCAGGUAAUACACUUACAGAAAAAAGCGUCCUUGAGAAGCACCGAGGUGCCAUCAGUGUAAUCCGAUAUUCUCCAGAUGUUACCAUGUUUGCAUCUGCUGAUUUGAAUCGUGAAGCUGUUGUGUGGGAUCAUGAAUCCAAAGAGGUGAAACUUAAUAACAUGUUGUUUCACACUGCACGUAUUAACUGCCUAUCUUGGUCACCUGAUAGCAGACUGAUAGCUACCGGUUCACUUGAUACAUGCGUUAUUAUAUAUGAAAUUGGAAAGCCAGCAGCAAGCCGCAGAACCAUAAAAGGUGCUCAUUUAGGUGGAGUUUAUGGGUUAACUUUUGUUGAUAAUGACAGAGUUGCCAGUUCAGGCGAAGACGGUUGUAUUCGUAUGUGGACUUUAACUUCUGAGUAAUCUUAGCUUCGGAACCUUCCCAUGCUUAAUGCAGUUCGCGGAGAUUGGCUUUCUUGUGUGGCAGAUAAAGGUGAGCCCCCAUAUUGGAGAGAACAGUAGGGAGAUGAAGAGAGAAGAUAAUGUCAUUCUCAUGGAGAUGGAAGUGAGUCGCAGAUGCUGUAGCAUUACCAUUGUUGUUUCUUCACUGUGUUUCCUUCUUAAGCCAAUGGAAUGGGCUUGAGAAAUUCUCAAUCAGUUUUGUAAUUUACGUAGAAAAGUCCGCAUUACACACAUUUCUAGACUAGACAGAGAGGCCUAAUUGCAUGAAACUAGACAGUUCUGCAAGUGUAGAGUCUUUACUACUGAUUAGUUGGUGCAGCAAGAUCUUUUGUUUCAACGUUCUAUAAUACUACAACUCUAACGGUAAGAAUAAGAUGCGUUGAAAUGGUACAUGACCCCUGGUCAAAAGUCAAAACUCGUCAACAUACCACUUAAAAUCCAGUUAAACUUUUUAUUUUCUUGGGCACAAUAAAACAAGUUCUAAAUUAUACUAAAACUCUUGAAAGUUAAUUUUGUCGAGUGUCUUUAAAAAGAUCUACUCUUUUCGGACAAGUUCUAAGAAAACUCUGUUUUCUCUUUUGAAAAGUUAUAAUGUGAUCCCUCGCUGUGUCGCCAUAUUGAGAGAGAGAGAGAGAGAACUCUUAAUUGGCGCUGAUUUCUAGAAAAGUAAGGUUGGUAUGGUAUUGGGGCAAGGUUCUUAAUUGAGAGCUGAGAAGAAUAAGGAUUUGGACUAGCAAGAAGAUAUUUAUCAAACAACAUUCAAAUGUUUGUACAUUCUGAGAACAGUUCCAGUGAGUGAAAAAGUG